rnacentral:rRNA from 1 species
UACGUAGGUGGCAAGCGUUAUCCGGAUUUAUUGGGUUUAAAGGGUGCGUAGGCGGGCUUUUAAGUCAGCGGUAAAAAUUCGGGGCUCAACCCCGUCCGGCCGUUGAAACUGGGGGUCUUGAGUGGGCGGGAAGAAGGCGGAAUGCGUGGUGUAGCGGUGAAAUGCAUAGAUAUCACGCAGAACCCCGAUUGCGAAGGCAGCCUUCCGGCGCCCUACUGACGCUGAGGCACGAAAGUGCGGGGAUCGAACAGG